rnacentral:rRNA from 1 species
GGAAUAUUGGUCAAUGGGCGAGAGCCUGAACCAGCCAAGUAGCGUGCAGGAUGACGGCCCUACGGGUUGUAAACUGCUUUUUCCGGGGAAUAACCGGCGUCACGUGUGGCGCCCUGCAUGUACCCGGUGAAUAAGGACCGGCUAAUUCCGUGCCAGCAGCCGCGGUAAUACGGAAGGUCCGGGCGUUAUCCGGAUUUAUUGGGUUUAAAGGGAGCGCAGGCCGGAGGUCAAGCGUGACGUGAAAUGUAGCCGCUCAACGGCUGAGUUGCGUCGCGAACUGGUUUCCUUGAGUGAGUACGACGUCAGCGGAAUUCGUGGUGUAGCGGUGAAAUGCUUAGAUAUCACGAAGAACCCCGAUUGCGAAGGCAGCUGACGAGUCCUUUACUGACGCUAAAGCUCGAAGGUGCGGGUAUCGAACA